CAGUUCGGAUUGUAGUCUGCAACUCGACUACAUGAAGCUGGAAUCGCUAGUAAUCGCGGAUCAGAAUGCCGCGGUGAAUACGUUCCCGGGUCUUGUACACACCGCCCGUCACACCAUGGGAGUUGACAACGCCCGAAGUCAGUGACCUAACCGAAAGGGAGGAGCUGCCGAAGGCGGGGUUGAUAACUGGGGUGAAGUCGUAACAAGGUACC
rnacentral:rRNA from 1 species